rnacentral:rRNA from 1 species
GACGAACGCUGGCGGCGUGCUUAACACAUGCAAGUCGAACGAGACGAUUGAAAGCUUGCUUUUAAAAGUCGAGUGGCAAACGGGUGAGUAACGCGUAGACAACCUGCCUUUGAGAUAGGGACAACAGUUCGAAAGGACUGCUAAUACCGAAUGUUGUAUAUUUUCCACAUGGAAGAUAUAUUAAAGAUGGCCUAUAUUUAUAAGCUAUCGCUCAAAGAUGGGUCUGCGUCUGAUUAGCUAGUUGGUGGGGUAACGGCCUACCAAGGAGACGAUAAGUAGCCGGUCUGAGAGGAUGAACGGCCACAUUGGGACUGAGACACGGCCCAGACUCCUAAGGGAGGAAGCAGUGGGGAAUCUUCCACAAUGGACGAAAGUCUGAUGGAGCAACGCCGCGUGAGUGAAGAAGGGUUUCGGCUCGUAAAGCUCUGUUGUCGGGGACGAAUGUGCAGUAUUUGAAUAAAGUACUGCAAUGACGGUACCUGACGAGGAAGCCACGGCUAACUACGUGCCAGCAGCCGCAGUAA